rnacentral:rRNA from 1 species
AUUACUCGUAUAGAUCCUGGCUCAGGACGAACGCUGGCGGCGUGCUUAACACAUGCAAGUCGAGCGGGGAACUUCGGUUCCCAGCGGCGGACGGGUGAGUAACACGUGGGUAACCUACCUCAUAGUGGGGAAUAGCCUUUCGAAAGGAAGAUUAAUACCGCAUAAUACUCGAGAAUCGCAUGAUUCUUGAGCCAAAGGAUUUAUUCGCUAUGAGAUGGACCCGCGGCGCAUUAGCUUGUUGGUGAGGUAACGGCUCACCAAGGCUUCGAUGCGUAGCCGACCUGAGAGGGUGAUCGGCCACAUUGGAA